UAGUCCAUACGUAAACGAUGAAUGCUAAGUGUUGGAGGUUUCCCCUUCAGUGCUGCAGCUAACGCAUUAAGCAUUCCGCUGGGGAGUACGGCCGCAAGGCUGAAACUCAAAGGAAUUGACGGGGGCCCGCACAGCGGUGGAGCAUGUGGUUUAAUUCGAAGCUACGCGAAGAACCUUACCAGGUCUUGACAUACUAUGCAAAUCUAAGAGAUUAGACGUUCCCUUCGGGGACAUGGAUACAGGUGGUGCAUGGUUGUCGUCAGCUCGUGUCGUGAGAUGUUGGGUUAAGUCCCGCAACGAGCGCAACCCUUAUUAUCAGUUGCCAGCAUUAAGUUGGGCACUCUGGUGAGACUGCCGGUGACAAACCGGAGGAAGGUGGGGAUGACGUCAAAUCAUCAUGCCCCUUAUGACCUGGGCUACACACGUGCUACAAUGGAUGGUACAACGAGUUGCGAACUCGCGAGAGUAAGCUAAUCUCUUAAAGCCAUUCUCAGUUCGGAUUGUAGGCUGCAACUCGCCUACAUGAAGUCGGAAUCGCUAGUAAUCGCGGAUCAGCAUGCCGCGGUGAAUACGUUCCCGGGCCUUGUACACACCGCCCGUCACACCAUGAGAGUUUGUAACACCCAAAGUCGGUGGGGUAACCUUUAGGAACCAGCCGCCUAAGGUGGGACAGAUGAUUAGGGUGAAGUCGUAACAAGGUAACCA
rnacentral:rRNA from 1 species